rnacentral:tmRNA from 2 species
GUGCUUGAAAUCCGGCGUUGGAACACCGAUAUUCGAUGUGUUCCCGCAAGGGGACUAUGGACAUAAACGCGCGUGUAAUAAGCGGCUCGGACCCGGGGGCGGUACCCGGCGGCUCCACCAGAUACCCUGUCAUUUGCAGGAACAUGGGGCCGAAACAGGAUCGACGAACGUCUAAAGACGUCUGCUUUGUCUCGGUGAGAUACCACCGUUAUCGGUUCAAAUAGUAUAGUUGCAAAUGACAACCAUGCUCCGGUCGCAAUGGCUGCGUAAGCAGUCGGAGUUACCGAAACUUAAGCCCUGAGGCCUAGCAGCGUCAGGCGGGGUUCGCAGGCACCUGGCAACAGAAGCCUGCAUU